rnacentral:rRNA from 1 species
UUACUGAGUGAGGGCCUUCGGGCUCGACCUCCAACCCUUUGUGAACACAACUUGUUGCUUCGGGGGCGACCCUGCCGUUUCGACGGCGAGCGCCCCCGGAGGCCUUCAAACACUGCAUCUUUGCGUCGGAGUUUAAGUAAAUUAAACAAAACUUUCAACAACGGAUCUCUUGGUUCUGGCAUCGAUGAAGAACGCAGCGAAAUGCGAUAAGUAAUGUGAAUUGCAGAAUUCAGUGAAUCAUCGAAUCUUUGAACGCACAUUGCGCCCCUUGGUAUUCCGAGGGGCAUGCCUGUUCGAGCGUCAUUUCACCACUCAAGCCUCGCUUGGUAUUGGGCGCCGCGGUGUUCCGCGCGCCUCAAAGUCUCCGGCUGAGCUGUCCGUCUCUAAGCGUUGUGAUUUCAUUAAUCGCUUCGGAGCGCGGGCGGUCGCGGCCGUUAAAUCUUUCAUAAGGUUGACCUCGGAUCAGGUAGGGAUACCCGCUGAACUUAAGCAUAUCAAUAAGCGGAGGAAAAGAAACCAACAGGGAUUGCCCUAGUAACGGCGAGUGAAGCGGCAACAGCUCAAAUUUGAAAUCUGGCGCAAGCCCGAGUUGUAAUUUGUAGAGGAUGCUUCUGGGUAGCGACCGAUCUAAGUUCCUUGGAACAGGACGUCAUAGAGGGUGAGAAUCCCGUAUGUGACCGGCCCGCACCCUUUACGUAGCUCCUUCGACGAGUCGAGUUGUUUGGGAAUGCAGCUCUAAAUGGGAGGUAAAUUUCU